UGGGGAAUAUUGCGCAAUGGAGGAAACUCUGACGCAGCAACGCCGCGUGAAGGAAGAAGGCCUUCGGGUUGUAAACUUCUUUGAUCGGGGACGAAAAUGACGGUACCCGAGGAACAAGCCACGGCUAACUACGUGCCAGCAGCCGCGGUAAUACGUAGGUGGCGAGCGUUGUCCGGAAUUACUGGGUGUAAAGGGCGUGUAGGCGGGGGAGCAAGUCAGAUGUGAAAUCCCGAGGCUUAACUUCGGAGCUGCAUCUGAAACUGUUUCUCUUGAGUGCUGGAGAGGAAAGUGGAAUUCCCAGUGUAGCGGUGAAAUGCGUAGAGAUUGGGAGGAACACCAGUGGCGAAGGCGGCUUUCUGGACAGUAACUGACGCUGAGGCGCGAAAGCGUGGGGAGCAAACAGG
rnacentral:rRNA from 1 species